UACGUAGGGGGCAAGCGUUGUCCGGAUUUAUUGGGCGUAAAGAGCGUGUAGGCGGUCUGGUAGGUCCGUUGUGAAAACUCGAGGCUCAACCUCGAGACGCCGAUGGAAACCAUCAGACUAGAGUCCGGAAGAGGAGAGUGGAAUUCCUGGUGUAGCGGUGAAAUGCGCAGAUAUCAGGAGGAACACCUGUGGCGAAAGCGGCUCACUGGACCAUAACUGACGCUGAUGCACGAAAGCUAGGGGAGCAAACAGG
rnacentral:rRNA from 1 species